UUGUAUAUCACCGCUAUGCCUACAUUAUCAGUAAAAUAUCUUUUAUGAAGGGUCUCACUCUGUCACUCUGGCUGGAGUGCAGCAGCAUGACCAUGGCUCACUACAGCGUUGACAUCCGGGUCUUAAGCAAUCCUCCCACUUCAGCCUCUCCAGUAGCUUGGACUACAGGCAUGGGCCACCACACCCAGCUAUUUUUUGUAUUUUUAGUAGAGGUGGGGUUAUGCCAUGUUGUAAGAUGUUUUUUUCCAUAGCAGCAAUGGCUAUAACCUAAUGGGUAUGUAUCAUGCUACAUUGUAAUUCCCCCUUAAUUGUUCUGUUUCCCCCUUUUAAUCAGUCAUUCUUUAAGUACAGGCAUCGACUUGUUCAACAUUGUGUCCAUAAUUCUGAGAAAACUACAUUAGUUAGUGAGGCUUGCAUUAUAGACUCAAUGUAGAAAGUAAAAACUAUAAAAAAGAGUACAGGAGAAUAUAAUUCAAUGAAAAUCUGGAUCUUUGUCCAGUUAAAGCCAAGAGUCUGUUUGGUACCUGGGAAGUAAAAGACUAGAUUAUAAAGGGCAGUGAAAGUUGGAG
rnacentral:lncRNA from 10 species